AGAGUUUGAUCCUGGCUCAGAAUCAACGCUGGCGGCGCGCUUAACACAUGCAAGUCGCACGAGAAAGCAGUAGCAAUACUGUGAGUAAAGUGGCGUACGGGUGAGUAACACGUGGAUCAUCUACCUUCUAGNUGGGGAAUACCCCCGGGNAAACUGGGGACAAUACCGCAUAAGCUCGAAAGAGGAAAGCAGCAAUGCGCUGGAAGAGGAGUCCGCGGCUGAUUAGCUAGUUGGCGGGGUAAUGGCCCACCAAGGCGAAGAUCGGUAGCCGGCCUGAGAGGGCACACGGCCACACUGGCACUGAAACACGGGCCAGACUCCUACGGGAGGCAGCAGUGGGGAAUCUUGCACAAUGGAGGAAACUCUGAUGCAGCGACGCCGCGUGAGCGAUGAAGCCCUUCGGGGUGUAAAGCUCUUUCGACGGGAACGAUAAUGACGGUACCCGAAGAAGAAGCUGCGGCUAACUACGUGCCAGCAGCCGCGGUAAUACGUAGGCAGCAAGCGUUGUUCGGAAUUACUGGGCGUAAAGAGUGUGUAGGCGGUGCUCCAAGUCUGUUGUGAAAUCUCCCGGCUUAACUGGGAGGGCGCGGCGGAAACUGGAAUGCUAGAGGAUGGGAGAGGUAAGCGGAAUUCCUGGUGUAGCGGUGAAAUGCGUAGAUAUCAGGAGGAACACCUGUGGUGUAGACAGCUUACUGGGACCA
rnacentral:rRNA from 1 species